rnacentral:tRNA from 1 species
AAAGGGCUAGUUAAACUGAUAACACCAGAAUGUCAGACUGGAAUUGCUGGCUAAUAAUCCAGCGCUCUUUG